CUGGACAAAAAGCAAGAACUAGUCAACAAAACCGUCGCCGGGCGCGAGAUGGUGGUGAGGUGAAAGAGCAGCCUUUCCUUCAACGACUACCGACAGAAGAACUCCGGGUGGACGAUGUACGAAUACGAGAUGUGUUCUUCCGGCUUAUUUGACAUUUGUUUUGACGGUGGUCUAUAAGGUGGACUCAACUGUUUUGAUGGUGGUGCCGUCGGAGAUAGCCUGAUGCAAGAUCUUCAGAGAACUCGUCUCUUGAAGCCGGAAGAACACAUCUCGUCUCGUCCAUCGUCCACCCUCUUUCACCGGCCGACCGUCGUUAAAGGAAAGUAAGUCAGCUCUUUCACCCCCACCCACGAUCUCGCGGCAGCUGAUGGUUUUCUCGCCGACUUCUUGAGUGGAAUAACCUAUUCGUAACUCAACCGUUUUGAAAGAAUCGGUGCCGACCUUUCUAUCCAUGCGCGAGCCAGUCACUGUUCUCGGGCUUGCGCUCCGGAAAGAAUCCCUCCGAUCGCUGCCAAGAAGAUUCCACGCGGCCACGAAGGGAGGGGUGUGUCGGCGACCCAGUUACCGAGGUAGUCGACCACGAGUUCCUCCGCCGUGGGUAGGAACCUGUAGCCUCUUGUCGAUGGGCUACAUCGAUGGUUGUUUCUCGAAGAGGAACUCCAAGUAAUUUGCAACUCCAAGGAACUUUAUCAACCUCACAGCAGAUACUUCAAGUGUGUUUAAAGACAGCAAAUACUUCAAGAUGAAGCAGAGUGAUAUCAGCAGAGAAAUAGGAUGGCUGGAUCCAAGCAGCACUCAUCAACAAGAAAUCAGCAGCAGAAUAGGGCGGCAAGGCUGCGAAACAAAACAUUCUUGUUAGUGGAGAAGUCAUCAAAAAAACCAUAGUAAGUGGUCUCCAUUUCACAAAAGAAAUAAAAGUA